UCUCUUCCUCACGGCAUCCCAAUUAGGGCUUAUGAUCAUUUUCUUCUAACCAAUCCCGGGCGCACACACACAUACACCCACACACGUACGCAUCCUUCUUCUCUCCCUCACCUUCUCGACCUUUCCUCGUCCGUAAACCGUAGCACCCAUACACCCAACCAUCAUCAACUUGCACGGAUCGAGCUUUUGAAGACUACCUUUGUGUUCCUUGCAAGCUUAGGAACCUAACUGUACCCUUAGUUCGAAGAAGGAAUCACGGGAACUCGAGAAACCAUAACCUCCGGCGAGGUGAAGUUUGCUCCGUCACGAUCCUGACGUGAUUUCGAAGUUUUAUGGUUUAGUAAGAAACCGUCGAGUACAAACGGCGGCUGGUUGCGGAUUCCGGCAAGUCACCGGAGAAGAAGAGGAAUAUUCCGUCAACUUUGACGAAAUAUACUGAUGGUGUAAGGUGAAACGUACUUCGAGGACAAGCGUGGACAAGCAAGAUUGAGAGGC